rnacentral:rRNA from 1 species
UACGGAGGAUCCAAGCGUUAUCCGGAAUCAUUGGGUUUAAAGGGUCCGUAGGCGGCCCUGUAAGUCAGUGGUGAAAUCUCACGGCUCAACCGUGAAAUUGCCAUUGAUACUGCAGGGCUUGAAUUAUCGGGAAGCAACUAGAAUAUGUAGUGUAGCGGUGAAAUGCUUAGAUAUUACAUGGAAUACCGAUUGCGAAGGCAGGUUGCUAACGGUGGAUUGACGCUGAUGGACGAAAGCGUGGGGAGCAAACAGG